GAUGAGCCUAUGUCGGAUUAGCUGGUUGGUGAGGUAAUGGCUCACCAAGGCGACGAUCCGUAGCUGGUCUGAGAGGAUGAUCAGCCACAUCGGGACUGAGACACGGCCCGAACUCCUACGGGAGGCAGCAGUGGGGAAUAUUGGACAAUGGGGGCAACCCUGAUCCAGCCAUGCCGCGUGUGUGAAGAAGGCCUUCGGGUUGUAAAGCACUUUCAGUGAGGAAGAAGGCCUUCGGGUUAAUAGCCUGAAGGAAGGACAUCACUCACAGAAGAAGCACCGGCUAACUCCGUGCCAGCAGCCGCGGUAAUACGGAGGGUGCGAGCGUUAAUCGGAAUUACUGGGCGUAAAGCGCGCGUAGGUGGCUUGAUAAGCCGGUUGUGAAAGCCCCGGGCUCAACCUGGGAACGGCAUCCGGAACUGUCAGGCUAGAGUGCAGGAGAGGAAGGUAGAAUUCCCGGUGUAGCGGUGAAAUGCGUAGAGAUCGGGAGGAAUACCAGUGGCGAAGGCGGCCUUCUGGACUGACACUGACACUGAGGUGCGAAAGCGUGGGUAGCAAACAGGAUUAGAUACCCUGGUAGUCCACGCCGUAAACGAUGUCGACUAGCCGUUGGGUCCCUCGCGGACUUUGUGGCGCAGUUAACGCGAUAAGUCGACCGCCUGGGGAGUACGGCCGCAAGGUUAAAACUCAAAUGAAUUGACGGGGGCCCGCACAAGCGGUGGAGCAUGUGGUUUAAUUCGAUGCAACGCGAAGAACCUUACCUACCCUUGACAUCCUCGGAAUCCACUGGAGACAGUGGAGUGCCUUCGGGAACCGAGAGACAGGUGCUGCAUGGCUGUCGUCAGCUCGUGUUGUGAAAUGUUGGGUUAAGUCCCGUAACGAGCGCAACCCUUGUCCCUAUUUGCCAGCACGUCAUGGUGGGAACUCUAGGGAGACUGCCGGUGACAAACCGGAGGAAGGUGGGGACGACGUCAAGUCAUCAUGGCCCUUACGGGUAGGGCUACACACGUGCUACAAUGGUCGGUACAAAGGGUUGCCAGCUCGCGAGAGUGCGCUAAUCCCAGAAAGCCGGUCUCAGUCCGGAUCGGAGUCUGCAACUCGACUCCGUGAAGUCGGAAUCGCUAGUAAUCGUGAAUCAGAAUGUCACGGUGAAUACGUUCCCGGGCCUUGUACACACCG
rnacentral:rRNA from 1 species